rnacentral:rRNA from 1 species
GACGAACGCUGGCGGCGUGCUUAACACAUGCAAGUCGAACGGUAAGGCCCUUCGGGGUACACGAGUGGCGAACGGGUGAGUAACACGUGGGUGAUCUGCCCUGCACUUCGGGAUAAGCCUGGGCAACUGGGUCUAAUACCGGAUAGGACUCCGGCCUGCAUGGUCUGGGGUGGAAAGCUUUUGCGGUGUGGGAUGGGCCCGCGGCCUAUCAGCUUGUUGGUGGGGUGAUGGCCUACCAAGGCGACGACGGGUAGCCGGCCUGAGAGGGUGACCGGCCACACUGGGACUGAGAUACGGCCCAGACUCCUACGGGAGGCAGCAGUGGGGAAUAUUGCACAAUGGGCGCAAGCCUGAUGCAGCGACGUCGCGUGGGGGAUGACGGCCUUCGGGUUGUAAACCUCUUUCAGCAUCGACGAAGCGAAAGUGACGGUAGGUGCAGAAGAAGGACCGGCCAACUACGUGCCAGCCGCCGCCGUAA